rnacentral:rRNA from 1 species
CCUACGGUGGGCAGCAGUGGGGAAUAUUGGACAAUGGGCGAAAGCCUGAUCCAGCCAUGCCGCGUGUGUGAAGAAGGCCUUCGGGUUGUAAAGCACUUUCAGUGGGGAAGAAAGCCUUGGGGCUAAUACCCUCGAGGAAGGACAUCACCCACAGAAGAAGCACCGGCUAACUCCGUGCCAGCAGCCGCGGUAAUACGGAGGGUGCGAGCGUUAAUCGGAAUUACUGGGCGUAAAGCGCGCGUAGGCGGUCUGAUAAGCCGGUUGUGAAAGCCCCGGGCUCAACCUGGGAACGGCAUCCGGAACUGUCAGGCUAGAGUGCAGGAGAGGAAGGUAGAAUUCCCGGUGUAGCGGUGAAAUGCGUAGAGAUCGGGAGGAAUACCAGUGGCGAAGGCGGCCUUCUGGACUGACACUGACGCUGAGGUGCGAAAGCGUGGGUAGCAAACAGGAUUAGAUACCCCAGUAGUC